rnacentral:lncRNA from 1 species
UAGCUAGCUAAAAUUGACCCUUUCUUAAAUUAGUCAUGGAUGAAGAUAGGGAUUUGGACUUAUAAUGGUGAUUCUGAUCCAACCAUAAUUUUAUACAUUGUGCCCCUGGCCUGAGAGGAUGGAAGUUCAAUAUGUAGCUAGAUGUAGUUAGUAAGCUAAUGUUAACUAGCUAGCUUAUCGUUGCCCAUGAAAGGAAGUUAGGCUAACGAGCAACCAGUUUUAGCCAUGUAGCCUAGGACAACAAAAACGAAUAGUGUGUACUGUAUGACAGUCAUAGACCGUUUCGGCAACAUGAAAGAGAGGAGGAUGGCAUUGGCAUUUGUGCAUGCAUUUCUCUACAAGUAGGAUCUCCCAAGUAUCCUUAUAGAACUUCCGGUAAAGAAUGCAGUCUUUUUUUGUGUACCCCACACGGUCCCCACGUGUUUGCCCAAGAGGGUUUCAUCUACAAUAGGUUAAAAAUGGGUAGAUGCGCGUGAGGGCCCCCACCGACCCAGAGGACUGGGUCAUCUCCCUCUCCAAGGCCAACAACAGUAAGGACUUUAAUCAGGUCGACACUAGCAAGGACAGACGGUAUUCCAGGGCGCGUUCUCGGAGCAUGCACAGAACAGCUGGCAGGGAUAUUCAUUGUCAUUUUCAAACUUUCUUUGUCCCAGUCUGUAAUCUCCACAUGUUAAGCUGACCACCAUCAUUCCUGUUCCCAAAAACCUCCCUGUAGCACUCAAAUCUGUAAUCAUGAAGUGCUUUGAAAGGCUGGAUAUGGCACACGUCAACUCCCUCAUCCCAGACACCCUAGACUCUAAUUUGCAUACUGCUCCAACAGAUCCAUAGAUGACACAAUCUCAAUUGCACUCCACACUGCCCUCACCCACUAAGAUAAUAGGAAUACCUAUGUGGGAAUGCUGUUCACUGACUACAGCACAGCGUUCAAAACCAUUGUCCCGUCCAUGCUCGUCACCAAGCUUAGGACCCUGGUACUGAACACCUCCCUCUGCAACUGGGUCCUGGACUUCCGACGGCUGACUCCAGGUAGUGAGGGUAGGUGUAACAGUGUAGGUUCCGUCCCUCUCUUCGCCCCAACCUGGGCUCCUUGCACACAUCAACAACUGACACCCACGAAGCAUCGUUACCCAUCGCGCCACAAAAGCUGCGGCCCUUGCAACGCAAGGGGAAAAACCACUUCCGGUCUCAGAGCGAGUGACGUCGCCGAUUGAAACACUAUUAGUGCGCACCACCGCUAACUAACUAGCCAUUUCACAUCGGUUACACCCCCCCUUUUGACCUGCUCCUCCUUUUCCGCAGCAACCAAUGAUCCGGGUCAACAGCAUCAAUGUAACAUGGUAGGUUCCGUCGCUCUCUUCGCACCAACCUGGGCACGAACCAGGGACCCUUGCACACAUCAACAACUGACACCCACGAAGCAUCGUUACCCUUCGCGCCACAAAAGCCGCAGCCCUUGCCACGCAAGGGGAACAACCACUUCAGGUCUCAGAGCGAGUGACGUCGCCGAUUGAAACGCUAUUAGCGCGCACCACCGCUAACUAACUAGCCAUUUCACAUCGGUUACAUAGGCAACAUCACCUCCGCCACUCUGACCCUCAACACGGGGUGUGUGCUUAGUCCCCUCCUAUACCCCCUGUUCACCCACAACUGCAUGGCCACUCACGACUCCAACACCAUUAAGUUUGCUAACGACACAACAUGGUAGGCCUGAUCACUGGUGGCGAUGGGACAGCCUACAGGGAGGAGGUCAGUGACCUGGCAGUGUGGAGCCAGGACAACAACCUCUCAAUGUCAGUAAGACCAAGGAGCUGAUCGUGGGAACGGAGGGCCCAGCACGCCCCUAUCCACACUGAUGGGGCUGCAGUGGAGCUGGUUGAGCGGUUCAAGUUUCUCGGUGUACAAAUCACCUACACUUGGUAUGGCAACAGCACCGCUCUCGAUCGCAUGGCGCUACAAAGGGUGGUGCAGAAAGCCCAGUACAUCACUGGGGCUGAGCUCCCUGCCAUCCAAGACCUCUAUUUCAGGUGGUGUGAAAGGAAGAUCCGGAAGAUCGUGUAACUCAGUAAAAUCUUUGAACUUGUUGCAUGUUGCGUUUAUAUUUCUGUUCAGUAUAUACACCUUGUUCAACUAUUCAUGGUUUACAAUUGAGUCCACAAUUAGUUGAGGUGUUAGUGAAGGGCUGGAACAAAUACCUGUAAACUCCUGUCCUGUGUAAAAACAACAACAACCGGUAGUUGUCAGGACUACAUUUUCCCUCAUGUACUAAACAAGCUUUUGAGGUUCCUCCUCUUGUUAUGUACCCCACUUGGGGAUGACUUAUUUUGUACAAUGGACUGUGUUCUAAAGACUCAUGCACAGAUACAGGAAAGCCAAUCAGUUAAUAUUUCUUACAAUUACAAGUAUUGUCUCGCCACGGUGUUGAGGCUUGGGCAACUGGGGGCUGCAGUUCAUCUGUCUAAUCCCCUGCAAGCAGAGAAAGGCAUUAAUAAUAUUAGAAUGGUGUAUUCAUUUCAUUUAAUAUAUAAUGAACAAAAAUAUAAAAGCAACAUGCAACAAGUUCAUAAAUGGACAUCAGUCAAUUUAAAUAAUGUCAUUAGGCCCUAAUAUAUGGAUUUCACAUGACUGGGCAGGGGCUCAGCCAUAGGUGGGCCUGGGAGGGCAUAGUCCCACCCACUGGGGAGCCAGACCCAGCCAAUCAGAAUGAUUUUUUCCCACAAAAAGUCUUUAUUACGGACAGAAAUACUCCUCAGUUUCAUCAGCUGCCUGGGUGGCUGGUCUCAGAUGAUCCCGCAGGUGAAGAAGCUGGAUGUGGAGGUCCAGAACUGCUGUGGUUACACGUGGUCAGCAGUUGUGAGGCCGGUCGGAUGUACUGCCAAAUUCUCUAAAACGAUGUUGGAGGUGGCUUAUGCUAGAGAAAUGAACAUUAAAUUAUCUGGCAAAAGGUCUGUUGGACAUUCCUGCACUCAGCAUGCCAAUUGCAUGAUCCCUCAAAACUUGAGACACGUGUGGCAUUAUGUUGUGUGACAAAACUGCACAUUUUAGUGUGUCCUUUUAUUGUCCCCAGCACUAGGUGCACCUGUAACAAUUAUGCUGUUUAAUCAGCUUCUUGAUAUGCCACACCUGUCAGGUGGGUGGAUUAUCUUGGCAAAGGAGAAAUGCUAACAACACCUUUGUAAUAUUGAGUUGCCCUCAAUGAAGGACUUUUAUUUUAAAAACGAACAACAAAUCCCCCUAUUGUGGCUAGCUUCACAUAGGUGCUAGCACUAUCACCUUCAAACUACUUAGCACGUUCACAUACUUGUCAUUGUAUAAAGAAAGAGACGACCAUGGCGAAUUGUGACUAUUUACAAACUCAGCUAACAUCUGUUUUGAACUCGCUUGUUAAAAUUGCGGUCGUAGAACUACUGCGAAUUGUAGAGGAUAGCGCCGUUGAACUUCGUCUGGAGGUGUCCAAGAGUAAAUUUGAGAACGAAGCACUGAAAAUUGAGAACGAAUCUAACAAAAAUAAGUUACAGAGUUUGGAAGCAGAACUGUGGACAGCGGGAAAUCGACCAUGUUCAAUAUGUUAUCGUUGUGUUGGUAUUCCAGCUCGCGGUAAAGGUGGAUGCGUCAGCCCCAAAAGAGAUAGAGAUGCUGCUGGUCCUCCUAAUUCUUCAGAGGAGGACAAUGCAUCAUCAUGGCUGCAACAAUCUGCUCAUACCAUGGAAGAGACUACAGCAGCCAUGGAGAGGGAUGGGAUUCACAUCGUUGUCAUUAAGAACGAAGCGGGGCAUGAAGGCACACAUCGGAAGAAAGACACACAGGCUGGAAGUUCAACAGAAGGUGAGCAGCCGUGUCCCAAAGUGGACAUGGUGUAUGGCAAGGAGUGGAGCCAAAGCCUGUGGCGAGACAGAGAUGCUGUCAAGGAGGACUCUGCAGGACCAUCGGUGACCCAGCGACAGGUCAAGACUGUUUCGGCUCAGAAAAGGCGGAGUGUUUGUGUAAAGAAGUCGGUCAUAGAAGAUGAACCUGCUGACUCAUCAGAUGCUGGUACCCAGCACCAGAACACCACUGAGUCCUGUGAUGUGGAGAAAAGUUGUGCAUUUGGAAGUUUUAAACCAGAAAGUUGUUUGAACUUUGAAGAAAACCACUUCUUGACUUCACCAGUCAACAUCAUGGUCCAGAAAUGUGUGAAGCUACCAGGUGCAGCAGCUGUCAUGGACACCCAAUUAGACAAGUCCAAGGACUUUGACAACAUGAACAACUCCGGAAGAAAGAAGAGAGGGAGAAAAAAUGGCCCUUGUAAAGGCAAUGUAAAUUACUGUUUUGUAUGUGGAGAGCCUCAAUCAAAGAUCUCCCGCCACUUGAAACAGCAUGAGAAGGAAAAUGCUGAAAUUGCUUAUGUCUUAAGUCUUGACAUAGCUUCAAGACAGCGGAAAGUGUUGCUGGAGAAACUGAGGAACAAGGGAAAUUUCCAACACAACACUAACGUCGUAAACAAGGGAUCCGGCUGUCUCAAAGUAAAAAGGAAACCCAAACCGAAUAGUGGCGCGAAGAGAUUUGAACCUUGUCUUUACUGUAAAGAUCCGUUUUUCCAAACAAAGGAAGAUGUUAAGGCUUGUGCAGAGAAGACCCGUGCAAGGCUGCAAUCUUUGGAGCCAGCAGGCCAAUCCCAGGCUACAGCUUUCAAUAAAGGGGAAGGCCUAAAAGUUGUUGCCACGGAGAAGGAUGGAAUAAAAGUACUUCGCAUCAAGAAGGAAAUAAAUGAAGGCACAGAACAUGACACACCAUGUCCAAUGACAGGUGAGCAGCCGUGUCCCAAAGUGGACAUGGUGUACGGCAAGGAGUGGAGCCAAAGCCUGUGGCGAGACGGAAAAGAAAUAGGAGACCAUAGCGACAGAACAGAGGAGAAAGAAACUCCAGGACCGUCAAUGACCCAGCAUCAGAUUGCAACUGGUAGCAACAAGAAGAAGCGCUGCGAUGUGUGUGGACCCAAGAAGGACAGGAAGACACAGUACACAUGCGUCAAGUGCAAGAAAUACAUUUGCAGCACACAUACAAAAAGGAGAAUUGUACAUUAUGCGGAUGAUUGGAUUGAAGAGGACUGGAUUAAAGAGGAGGGCGUACCAGUGGAAACCAAUGAAAGUAUUGAUACUUCAGUCAUCCCAUUCAUGGCGGACAGUGAUUUGUCAGAGUAUGGAGACGGACUGUCCACACUUUGCAGCCAAGCGAAUUACAUGGAUGCCAUGACAGAGAGCUUGAAAGGCAGAUUAGGGUCUGUUAGGGAUAAACAAACCACACGAUUAAAAACUGGAUUGUUGGGGAAUACCAAUGCCAAGAAGAAACAGAGAAUAAUUGAACUAGGCUGGAUGGACUUCAAUGAAAAGGGGCAAGAGUUCAAGCAAGUCAGGACAGUAAACGGUGGCGGUACAAGACACCUCUAUGUUGACAAAAAGAAAUCUGUUGAGGAAAUCAAAGUAAUGGCAGAGGAAAUGUUUUUCCCAAAUGGACUUUCAAAGAAAAACACCCAACUGGAGGACUAUCGCAGAGAAAUCAGAUGGAGGUACACUCAAGUAAACAAUUCAAGCACUGUGGAAGAACUUUAUGAGGAAACCAAAGUGGGAUGUCUACGACUCUAUCUUUGCACAAAGGCACACAAUGUCCGAGAUUUUGGGGUUGUAGUCGGUGCCGCCUCCGCCUAUACCCAGAGUACGCGCUGCGCGUAGGGCCCCGCCUAUACACAGUACACGUUGCGCUUAGGGCCCCGCGGCCCCUAGAGGGCUCCCCACCCAGGGACUUUAGGAACUCAGUCGGGGUCUCAACUUACUGUUGGGAGUUAAAACAGCAGAAUACAUAUGGUUGCAAUUCCAAAUGUGGUUGUGCAUCAGCAGUUUUCUUUUCGUGUCUGUCACUGACAGUCACUCAAUUAGCCCAUGUCAACUAACAUUUUAUAGAUUGCUAGGUAACUUAGUCUGGCCAGCUUGUAGUAAUCAUGGCUGAAUUACAUGGAGGGGGGGCCCUCCAACCAAAUUAUUUGAUCAAAUUUGGUCUUUACUACUAUAGCCCAUAGAAACACGUUGAAUAGC